rnacentral:tmRNA from 1 species
GGGGGUGAUCGGUUUCGACUUCGGUGAAUGUUGUAGGGGAAGCGGGCCGAGGACCGCGAACGCAACCUCGUUAACACUGCGAUCGCAAACCAACAAGUGCCAAUUCCAAGCGCACUGAGUUCACUCUCGCUGCCUAAGCGAUUGUGACUCUGUCGGCCUGAGGGCGUCUCCGCUUCAGGGUCCGGCAUCGUUAGGAGACUCACCGGUCAGAUCAGGCCACGGGGCCUGACCGGGACAUUUUCGUGGCUGGGCCUGUCAGCGACUCGUCUGCGAGAGCGCUGGGGCCAAGUAGAACGUCAAGCAGACUGCGCCCGGAGAAGCCCUAUCUCAGCACUGAAGGACGCGGGUUCGAUUCCCGCCACCUCCAC